GUGCCGUUUUAAGUAUCGCGCGAUUUUCGUAUUCAGGUACGCAUGCGAGCAAUGCAUGCGCCGCGAACGCGUGUGAUUCAAUGUGAGUGCUUCGAAGGAUCACUGAGAGGAGGAGGAGGUUCAGGAGGAGCAUCGGGCGCCGGCGGAGCAACUUUACGAUCAACUUUGCAUCUAAACACCGUCAAAGAACGACAACUCCGCUGCUGCGCAUCGUACCGAGAUCAGCUUUGCAGAUCAAUAAAAUCACAACUCCGCUGCUGCGCAUCGUUC